AGUCGAGCGAGUCUGCCUUGAAGAUCGGAGUGCUUGCACUCUGUGAAACAAGAUACAGGCUAGCGGCGGACGGGUGAGUAACACGUGGGUAACCUGCCCAAGAGAUCGGGAUAACACCUGGAAACAGAUGCUAAUACCGGAUAACAACAGAUGAUGCCUAUCAACUGUUUAAAAGAUGGUUCUGCUAUCACUCUUGGAUGGACCUGCGGUGCAUUAGCUAGUUGGUAGGGUAACGGCCUACCAAGGCGAUGAUGCAUAGCCGAGUUGAGAGACUGAUCGGCCACAUUGGGACUGAGACACGGCCCAAACUCCUACGGGAGGCAGCAGUAGGGAAUCUUCCACAAUGGACGCAAGUCUGAUGGAGCAACGCCGCGUGAGUGAAGAAGGGUUUCGGCUCGUAAAGCUCUGUUGUUGGUGAAGAAGGACAGGGGUAGUAACUGACCUUUGUUUGACGGUAAUCAAUUAGAAAGUCACGGCUAACUACGUGCCAGCAGCCGCGGUAAUACGUAGGUGGCAAGCGUUGUCCGGAUUUAUUGGGCGUAAAGCGAGUGCAGGCGGUUCGAUAAGUCUGAUGUGAAAGCCUUCGGCUCAACCGGAGAAUUGCAUCAGAAACUGUCGAGCUUGAGUACAGAAGAGGAGAGUGGAACUCCAUGUGUAGCGGUGAAAUGCGUAGAUAUAUGGAAGAACACCGGUGGCGAAGGCGGCUCUCUGGUCUGUUACUGACGCUGAGGCUCGAAAGCAUGGGUAGCGAACAGGAUUAGAUACCCUGGUAGUCCAUGCCGUAAACGAUGAGUGCUAAGU
rnacentral:rRNA from 1 species